rnacentral:rRNA from 1 species
ACGCUGGCGGCAUGCCUAACACAUGCAAGUCGAACGAGAUCUUCGGAUCUAGUGGCGCACGGGUGCGUAACGCGUGGGAAUCUGCCCUUUGCUUCGGAAUAACAGUUAGAAAUGACUGCUAAUACCGGAUGAUGUCUUCGGACCAAAGAUUUAUCGGCAAAGGAUGAGCCCGCGUAGGAUUAGGUAGUUGGUGGGGUAAAGGCCUACCAAGCCGACGAUCCUUAGCUGGUCUGAGAGGAUGAUCAGCCACACUGGGACUGAGACACGGCCCAGACUCCUACGGGAGGCAGCAGUGGGGAAUAUUGGACAAUGGGCGAAAGCCUGAUCCAGCAAUGCCGCGUGAGUGAUGAAGGCCUUCGGGUCGUAAAGCUCUUUUACCAGGGAUGAUAAUGACAGUACCUGGAGAAUAAGCUCCGGCUAACUCCGUG